rnacentral:rRNA from 1 species
UACGUAGGUGGCAAGCGUUGUCCGGAUUUAUUGGGUUUAAAGGGUGCGUAGGCGGUCUUCUAAGUCAGUUGUGAAAUACUUCAGCUUAACUGGAGAGGUGCAAUUGAUACUGGGAGACUUGAGUACUGAUGAGGUAGGCGGAAUGGACGGUGUAGCGGUGAAAUGCUUAGAUAUCGGGAGGAACACCAGUGGCGAAGGCGGCCAACUGGACGAAUACUGACGCUGAGGCGCGACAGCGUGGGGGAGCAAAACGAGG